rnacentral:lncRNA from 1 species
UGUACAUUGAAGCUGGACCAGGGUGGCCACAAAAUUCUGGGGUGCUUUGCUGCUGGUUGUGGAUAAAGCCACUGAGUUCUACUCUCUGGGAAACACUGAAAGCACAUAAGGAGUUACUCUGGAGCUGACAGUGAUCAGCUUUGUGUGCCUUCCUAAAGUGGAGAGGACAGCAACUGUGGACUGAGAACCAAUUAAUUAUUUCCAGAGCAAAGGAGACUUCUCCUAGAGUACCUGCAAAACCGAGAAUUCCUGCUGCUUCCUAAAGUGACUUAAAGGAAAAGAUUCAUUGAGGAAGGGAGGCAACCAAGCUUUAUGAUACAUCAUUUGUGCAAGAGAGAAUACUUGUUAUUAUUAACUGCUUUUUCUGAAAAUUAAAAUCCAGAAGAUGUUCACAGGUAAGCAAAUUUUUCUACAUCUCUGCUGUCAGAAUUUGAUCCACUGAUUAUAUUAA